GCCUGGGUGGCUCAGUCGGUUGAGUGUCCGACUUCAACUCAGGUCACGAUCUCAUGGUUUAUGAGUUUGAGCCCCAUGUCAGGCU
rnacentral:tRNA from 1 species